rnacentral:piRNA from 1 species
UACUUCAGUUAUUCCUUUCUUGAAGU